UACGUAGGGACCGAGCGUUGUCCGGAUUCAUUGGGCGUAAAGAGCUCGUAGGCGGCUGUUCAAGUCGAACGUGAAAACUCGGAGCUCAACUCCGAGCCUGCGUUCGAUACUGGACGGCUAGAGUCUGGUAGGGGGAUCUGGAAUUCCUGGUGGUAGCGGUGGAAUGCGCAGAUAUCAGGAGGAACACCGGUGGCGAAGGCGGAUCUCUGGGCCUUACCUGACGCUCAGGCGCGAAAGCUAGGGGAGCGAACUGG
rnacentral:rRNA from 1 species